GCUGGGCAUGGUGGCGCAUGCCUAUAGUCCCAGCUACUUGGGAGGCUGAGGCUGGAGGAUCGCUUGAGCCCAGGAGUUCUGGGCUGCAGUGCACUAUGUCGAUGGGGUGUCUGCACUAAGUUCAGCAUCAAUAUGGUGACCUCCCAGGAGCAGGGGACCACCAGGUUGCCUAAGGAGGGGUGAACCAGCCCAGGUCAGAAACGGAGCAGGUCAAAACUCCUGUGCUGAUCAGUAGUGGGACUGCACCUGUGAAUAGCCACUGCACUCCAGCCUGGCAACAUAGCGAGACCCCGUCGCUA
ensembl:misc_RNA Metazoa_SRP Metazoan signal recognition particle RNA